GACGAACGCUGGCGGCAGGCCUAACACAUGCAAGUCGAGCGGAUGUAGCAAUACAUCAGCGGCGCACGGGUGAGUAACGCGUGGGAACCUGCCCUUUGGUACGGAACAACCCUGGGAAACUAGGGCUAAUACCGAAUACGCCUCGAGAGAGGGAAAGAUUUAUCGCCGAAGGAGGGGCCCGCGUCCGAUUAGCUAGUUGGUGGGUAAAGCCUACCAAGGCUACGAUCGGUAGCCGGUCUGAGAGGACGAUCGGCCACACUGGGACUGAGACACGGCCCAGACUCCUACGGGAGGCAGCAGUGGGGAAUAUUGGACAAUGGGCGCAAGCCUGAUCCAGCCAUGCCGCGUGAGUGAAGAAGGCC
rnacentral:rRNA from 1 species